rfam:Triticum urartu cultivar G1812 contig252709, whole genome shotgun sequence.
UGAAUACUCCCUCCGUACCAAAAUUCUUAUCUUAGAUUUGUCUAGAUACGGAUGUAUCUAACACUAAAACAUAACUGAAUACAUCCAUAUUUAGACAAAUCUAAGACAAAAAUUUUGGGAUGGAGGAAGUAUAAU